GGCACUGCCAGCCUCUGGGUCCCGGGCCAGGACCCUGCAGCGCAGUGAAUUGCUGGUGUGGCUUAAGCCUGAUGUCACAAACAGACACAGGAAGGGGCCGGCAAAGGAUUGCACAUGUGUGCGGCUCCAUUUCCUAAAACCACCCAGCCCGGCACAGAGAGGGUUGCUGUACUGAGCCACACUCGAACCCAGGAUCAGGACGGCCACUGAAGGCACCUGAGUGUUCACUCCUCCUUGGACAGUCCUUUGGCUAAUCAGGCUGCGAAAAAUUAUAAAAGCAUUGCCUCUUAGAGCAGAAAGAACCUACGUAUCCCUGAAUCCAGCGACCCUCAGGUCCACCCUGGAGCAGGAGAGAAUCAGUAAGGAUGAUGUAGUGACUUGCCCCAAAAGCUGAAUUCAAACCCUGAAUGUAUGCAAUUUAAAUUCGAUGGCUUAGAUGGGGGCUUAUCAUUUAAGGAAACAAACAAACCAAAAACCCCUUGCAUUUGGUGUUACAAUAUCCCUUAGGAAAUAAUGGUGGUGGUGCUAAUAUUUGCUAGUGUGUGUUAUGCGCAGCCACGUGCCGGGCGUUGGGCCGAAGGCUCUGCACUUUGUCUCCUUUCAUCGACACAAGAUCCCCACAAGGCGGACGCUCUUAUCAGUCCGAGUUUACCUCCAAGGGAACAAGGACACUGAGAUCCAGGAGGCAGAAGUCCCGCCUGCACACGCCGACUCAGGACCUGAGCGCGGGCGGCUGACUUGCCUGUGCGCACUCAGUCACCCCGCCCUCCUGCCUCCGGAGAUCCCAGCUGGAGUUCGGUGGCUAGGUGAAAAUGAGAGUCAGGCAAACUUGCUGGAGCCUCAUGCCUUCUUAAAGAACCUGCGCUGGUCUAGAAACCUGGAACCCCAGGAGCUGUGAGAUAGCCCAUCCCGGCCAUUCGACAGACACCAGGGAGGACGGAUUGGGUGACGCAGCAUCACCGGGCAGGUUGGGAACACAGUUAGAUCAAGGGGAGAAUUGGCCUGGCGGAUUUUCAGCAUUUGUAAGACAUGAGCAUUGGGGGAUUUCCUUUGAUCUGGACAAUGGCUGACUAAAGGAAAGGCAGCUUCUAGAAAUAAAUUCAGAAAACAAUUCUUCUAACCUAUGUCUCCCCAGGGACAUCCUGGCUUUGCCAUUGUAUUUCGGGGUAGCUCCAGGAAUGUGUCCACAUUCCUCAACGGAGCGGGAAUUUCCAGGCCUUGGGCUCCUACUAGAUGCUGCCUCUCCGGCCACAAAGGAGAAGUCUGGAGGCACAUUCUCGCCUCUCCCCCCUGCAGUACCUCUUCCCACUCCGGGAGCGCCUUUCCCGUUGGCUGUCUCCAUGGUGAAGGCGGUCUUGUCACAUUUCACAUCGUGUUCUAUCUCUGCCCCUCAUGUCAGUCCUCCUUUGGGGGUGCACCAGGAAGGAAAGGCAGUGCCUUACAUGGUUCUGCACCUGCUCCAGCAUAGGAGAGCUCCGGAAAGGUUUGCUGAGCGGAUGCAGCAACCACAGGAUGGGUAUGACCUUGGGCCACCCAGCUCUCUGCGGCUGAGACCAACCCUGAAGAACCUGACAGCUGUGCUUGUCUGAUGACAGCAUUCCCAGCAGCUGGAGAAGCAAGUCCUCCGGUGAAAGGGGGGUCUGGUAUCCCAUCCCAGUGUCCACCAAAAGUACGUCCCCAGCAGAAGGGGGGUUAGAAACCUGAGCCUGUAAGCCAGCAGCUGGAACACAGCAGCAGUAUCUUCCUGCAUGACAGGCAUCAGCCCACAGAGGAGUAGGAGCUCAGGGUUUCACUGAGACCUAACUUUUUUUUUUUUUAAGAUUUUAUUUAUUUAUUUGACA